UACGAAGGGGGCUAGCGUUGUUCGGGUUUACUGGGCGUAAAGCGCGUGUAGGCGGGUCGUUAAGUUAGGGGUGAAAUCCCGAGGCUCAACCUCGGAACUGCCCUUAAAACUGCAAAGCUGGACUCCAGCAGAGGGGAGUGGAAUUCCUAGUGUAGAGGUGAAAUUCGUAGAUAUUCGGAGGAACACCAGUGGCGAAGGCGGCUCGCUGGUCCGGCACUGACGCUGAGGCGCGAAAGCGUGGGGAGCAAACAGG
rnacentral:rRNA from 1 species